rnacentral:rRNA from 1 species
UACGAAGGGUGCAAGCGUUGCUCGGAAUCAUUGGGCGUAAAGCGCACGUAGGCGGGCGCGUAAGUCGGUUGUGAAAGCCCUGGGCUCAACCCGGGAAUUGCAGUCGAUACUGCGUGUCUUGAGUUCUCAAGAGGAUGGCGGAAUUCCUGGUGUAGAAGUGAAAUUCGUAGAUAUCAGGAGGAACACCGGAGGCGAAGGCGGCUGUCUGGUGAGACACUGACGCUGAGGUGCGAAAGCGUGGGGAUCAAACAG